rnacentral:rRNA from 1 species
AGAACGAACGCUGGCGGCAUGCCUAAUACAUGCAAGUCGAACGAACUCUUCGGAGUUAGUGGCGCACGGGUGCGUAACGCGUGGGAAUCUGCCCCUUGGUUCGGAAUAACAGUUGGAAACGACUGCUAAUACCGGAUGAUGACGAAAGUCCAAAGAUUUAUCGCCAAGGGAUGAGCCCGCGUAGGAUUAGCUAGUUGGUGAGGUAAAGGCUCACCAAGGCAACGAUCCUUAGCUGGUCUGAGAGGAUGAUCAGCCACACUGGGACUGAGACACGGCCCAGACUCCUACGGGAGGCAGCAGUAGGGAAUAUUGGACAAUGGGCGAAAGCCUGAUCCAGCAAUGCCGCGUGAGUGAUGAAGGCCUUAGGUUGUAAAGCUCUUUUACCCGAGAUGAUAAUGACAGUAUCGGAGAAUAAGACCCCGGCUAACUCCGUAGCCAGCAGCCGC